rnacentral:lncRNA from 1 species
GCAAAUUGCACAUGACCUUCAAAAAUAGCCACAGAAUACAUCACCUUUUAAUUUUGUUGCAAAUUGCACACGCGUUGACCAUCACCUUGAUCGGUGUUGACGUGGCACCGGAAUUUUCAGACGUGGACUCACCGGAAUUCAAAACGACGUCGUUUUGAGUGAGUAUAAAUAAAUAAAUAAAUAAAUAAACAAAAAAACAAAAAAAAGAGGAAAACGUCGUUUCUGCUCUCUCUCUCUCUCUCUAUGCAGAUGCCGCCCCGUUCUUCAUUCACCGGCGUUGAUGCCGAGCACCACCGCCACCUUUUCCAGACGCACCACCGCACAACAUCAGCGUCGCCCUCUCCACCCCCUCCCCCCAAAAAAUCUAAUUAUUUGGAAAUCUGCAAAUUUGGAAUUCGAUUUUGAAAUUGGAUCUGCAAAUCUGGAAAUCGAUCUUGAAAUCGAUUUUGAAGAUGUCGUUGGGUGGUGGAAAUCGAUUUUGAACUCGAUUUUGAAGCUGGCGUUGGGUGGUGGAAAUCGAUUUUGAAGCUGGUUGAAAUCGAUUUGAAAAUCGAUUUUGAAGUAGGUGGAAAGGGGGAGGAUGGAGGUGGAAAGUAGGAUGGAUUUUUGAACUCGAUUUUGAAAAUCGAUUUUGAAGCCCCCGCCGCCGCCGUCUCCGUCUCCGUCUCCGUCUCCGCCUCGCCGGGUGCUCCAGAUCUGGAAGGAUGGAGGUGGAAAGGGGGAGGAUGGAGGUGGAACUGGGUGGUGAGGACGGCGUCGAAGUCUCCUCCGUCGCUUACCUGCUGCUUCACCCCCGCAGCCCCCGCCGCCGCUGCCGCCGUCUCCGUCUCUGCCUCCGCCGGGUGCUCCAGAUCUGGAAGGAUGGAGGUGGAAAGGGGGAGGCAGUGGUUGAACGGCGCUGCUCCCGUCACGAUUGAUGUCGGAGAGGCGUUCCUCGCCGGAGAAGCAGGAGGAGGGAGGCGGCAGUGAGGAAUUUUUUUUUUUUUUUAAUUCUUCAAAAUAUCAAAACGACGUCGUUUUGCCCACGUGGCUUGCCAGCGUGUAAAAAAAGCCACGAGUAAUGCCAUGUAAUGUUAAAUAUUGUCCACGUCAUCGCCGGUCAAACUUAAGUGCUGCCGGAACUUUCACCGUGUGCAAUUUACGACUAAAUUAAAAGGUGGUGUAUUCUGGGGCUAUUUUUGAAGCUCA